UAGUUAUGUUCUUGAAACUUAAAAAAUUUGGCGGUAUUUUAGUCUAUUCAGAGGAACCUGUUCUAUAAUCGAUAAUCCACGAUGGACCUUACUUAAAUUUGUAAUCAGUUUAUAUACCGUCGUUAUUAGAAUAUUUUAUUAGAAUGAUAAUUUUCAAGAUUUUUUUUUANAAAAUAUAUCAGAUCAAGGUGUAGCUUAUAUUUAAGUAGAAAUGGGUUACAAUAAAUUUAUUUAUAUGGAUAUAAAUUUGAAAAAUUUAUUGAAAGUGGAUUUGAUAGUAAAAUUAUAAAGAUUAAUAAUUUGAUUUUAGCUCUAAAAUAUGCACACAUCGCCCGUCACUCUUAUUAUUAAGAUAAGAUAAGUCGUAACAUAGUAGAUGUACUGGAAAGUGUAUCUAGAAUGCAAUUUAAAGCUUAUUUAGUAAAGUAUUUCAUUUACAUUGAAAAGAUUUUUGUGCAAAUCAAUAUAAAUUGAAUUUUAAAUUUUAUUUAUUAUUUUUUAUUUUUUAAAAAUAAAUUAUUAAAAAUAAUUAUAAAAAUAAUUUGUUUAAGUAUUUUAUAAAAAAAAAAUAAUUUUAAUUAUAGUUAAAUAGUAUUGUGAAAGAAUAUUGAAAUAAUU
rnacentral:rRNA from 1 species